rnacentral:rRNA from 1 species
UACGUAGGGUGCAAGCGUUGUCCGGAAUUAUUGGGCGUAAAGAGCUCGUAGGCGGCUUGUUGCGUCGACUGUGAAAACCCGCGGCUUAACUGCGGGCUUGCAGUUGAUACGGGCAGGCUAGAGUUCGGUAGGGGAGACUGGAAUUCCUGGUGUAGCGGUGAAAUGCGCAGAUAUCAGGAGGAACACCGGUGGCGAAGGCGGCUUGCUGGGCCAGUUCUGACGCUGAGGAGCGAAAGCGUGGGGAGCGAACAGG